CAGUCGCCGCGGUAAUACGAAGGGUGCAAGCGUUAAUCGGAAUUACUGGGCGUAAAGCGUGCGUAGGCGGUUUGUUAAGUCUGUUGUGAAAUCCCCGGGCUCAACCUGGGAAUGGCAAUGGAUACUGGCAAGCUAGGGUGUGUCAGAGGAUGGUGGAAUUCCCGGUGUAGCGGUGAAAUGCGUAGAGAUCGGGAGGAACAUCAGUGGCGAAGGCGGCCAUCUGGGACAACACUGACGCUGAGGCACGAAAGCGUGGGGAGCAAACAGGAUUAGAUACCCGAGUAGUCCCUGUCUCUUAUAC
rnacentral:rRNA from 1 species